GCAUUCUGUUGUAUGUCGUACCUUUACUUGUACCAGAAUACAUUUGACUAUAUGGACCGCUUCUCCUGCGAUCAGAGCCAUGUGUCCUGGGGUCUUGGUUAUGGUGUAUGCAAAUUCGUCGGGCAGUAAGAUUGCUAAGCUUAAAGCAUUCUCUAUUAGUUUCUUCUGUGUGGUGCAUCUUUGUGUCAGUAUAUCAUGGUAUAAUGUUGUCAUUUGUCGUUUAAUAUGUUUCUCUACGUAAAUGAAUUUUGAGUUGACAUAUGCGAAUAUAUCCAAAUUUUCGACUGCUGUCUUGCUUUUGGAGAUGAACGUAUUUCCUCUUGUUGUUUCUAACAGGAACAACUUGGGGUGUUCAGUGGAUAGUAGGGUAUAUCCACACAGUGGCUGUUCUCCAGUUUUAGUUAGUGCAAAUGUUACUUCCUGCGUUGUUAGUGCGUAAACUGGUUGUGCUGAUUCCCUGUUGGUUCUUAUUUCCUGGAUCUUUGUAGCAAUUCCUUCAUAUAGCACAUCGUACUGAUCAAAUUUGCAUGGCGAGGGCGGUUGUGGUUGCCAAUAAGUGUAUCCGUCCUCAGCGUCUAGACAGUUUCCUUCGCUAAAGGUACAUACCGUUCCUGAUUUCAGUAGAAUUUUGUUCGCCUCGAUCCGUACUGGCACAACUGCUGAUCUUAAACUUAUCCUUACUGUGGUUUGUACGACGACCUUUUCCCAGCUCCCGUAUGGGUCUGCAUACUGUGUUCCCUGGCAGCUGCCGUCGUCUGUUAACUUGCCGGCUAGGACAAGCGACCUUGUUUCUGUUGCAUUAUCUUUUAGGCCUACUAUAAGGUUUUGUGGUCCGAGUGAAAACGUGCCGUCUUGGUGCAUCCUUGCACAUUGUUGGGCGGUUGUUUUAUGGAGGUAUUCAGCGAAUCCGUUAUGCACUGCCGACAUGUGGGAGUGCAUGCCACAGUAAUAUAUAAUUCGAGUUAUUUGCACCUUGCAUUGCCUUACACUGGUAAAUUCAAAUUCUGAGAGUUGCAGUAGUUGAAUAUAAAUAUCUUGGGUUUUAGUCAUCGCAGGCUGUAUGCUGCAGUCCCCGAUGGAGUUUAAAGAGAUGGUGGUAACGUUGAGGUGGUUGCCAUUGCAGUCGUAUCCUACCAGGCCAUAUGCUAUUUCGAUGAGGGUUUUACGUACAUGUUAUCAGUGAAAAUAAAUAUUAUGAAUGCUAAGGGGUUAUAAUUAUAUACAUAUAUGCAUACGUAUUGGUAAGUAGUAUAAAUGAGAUUUGUUUUAUUGUUAUAAAUAUAUAAGUAUAUAUUAUCAAUAGGAAUAGAUAUUACAAAUGUAGCUUGUCUUCGAAUAUAUAUAUAUAUAUAUAUAUAUAUAUAUAUAUAUAUAUAUAUAUAUAUAUGUGUGUGUAUGUGCGUGAAAUGGUAAAUAUGACGGCUUAUUUUAUGAGUCACUUGCAUUAUCAAUGGAAAUGAGUGUUAUAGAUAUCGCCUACUUUACAACAUGCGUGUAUAUAUAUAUUGGUAAAUAUAAGUGAGAAUUAUAUGUAUAGUUAUAAAUAUUGUUUGUUUACAGGUGGAUAGCAUAAGUAUUUGGUUUCGUGCGUAGCGUACAGGUGCUUUACAGUUCUACGGUGCGGAUUGCUAUUCCUUGAACUAAAAAAAUUCUUUCGAUGUCAGUCAGAUUAUUGUAAACGAUCAUGCAUGGGAGGCAUGAUAUAGCGGGUUGUAGGUCCGUUAGGUUUAUAUCACACAUACGACAGUGUGAUAUUUGUGUCCUUGCAGGUACUCCGCAUAGGAAAUGAGUGGGCGGGUCGUCGCAUAGGUCCUGGUCGUCUGGAUCUAGGUUGUCGAAACAGUCUUGACAAAGAUAACCGUUAUCUAAAUGGUAGACGGAACGUAUCAACCGAACACAGAGGCAAGACUGAACAUCCUCCGUCGCUUCCAGAUCGAAUGCGGGUACGGGCCCGUCUGGGUCCUCUAUGUCAGAGUUGAUGAAUUCGCCACCCGUUCUGUACAUACAUACAAAAACAGUUAAUAUAUAUAUAUAUUUUUAUAUAUGUUUCGUUCGGACCUGUUCCUUUGUACGAAUACUGUAUCCCUGUAUAUAAUAUAAUAUAUAUAAUAUGUUAUGAUUA